UGCCCAGCAACUCCUAUCCCUACCUCCACGCGAUACCGGCCGGAAACUAUGAGCAACCUUAGGGAAGACCCCGGUGGGAACUUUGGUCGUAGGCUGACAGGGAAGG
rnacentral:ribozyme from 1 species